rnacentral:rRNA from 1 species
GCCCAGCCGUAAACUUUUAUCUACACCUUAAAUCGCCCGGGAACUACGAGCUAAGCUUAAAACCCAAAGGACUUGACGGUACCCCAUAUCCCCCUAGAGGAGCCUGUCCUAUAAUCGAUAAUCCACGUUUAACCUCACCAUUUUUAGCUUAUCAGCCUGUAUACCUCCGUCGCCAGCUUACCACGUGAGCGCCAAUCAGUGAGCUUAAUGUUAUUUCACCAAUACGUCAGGUCAAGGUGCAGUAAAUGAAAUGGAAAGAGAUGGGCUACACUUUCUAUAUUAGAAGAAACGAAAAACUACUUAUGAAACCUAGUUAGAAGGCGGAUUUAGCAGUAAAAUGUAAUCAGCAUAUUCAUUUUAACUCGGCACUGGGGUGUGU